ACAACAUUCGGACCGUCGGUCUACCGAGCCAUAUAUGAUGCACCCGCUUGGUGAAAGAUUUUCUGUUUGUCUU
rnacentral:pre_miRNA from 1 species